AAAAGCUGCUUCUUGAAAUUGACGAAUAUCGUCCAAAUAUUCUUGUUGAAGUUGCCAGCAACCACUGCAUACUCGAUCGAUUUUCCAUUUUCCCUGUGCACAAAUCAAUGACUCUAAUUCUCUUCACUUAAUUCACAAAUUCAGAAAGAAAGAGAUCAAGGAGAUGGGGGAAGUGUCGUGCUGUGAGACGGAAUUCUUUGUGUGUUUGUUGGUAAUCGUCGGUCUGGUAGCUUUUGCAGGGUUGAUGGCAGGUCUUACUCUCGGACUUAUGUCCCUUGGACUCGUUGACCUCGAAGUCCUCAUCCAGUCCGGCCGCCCCAAAGAUCGCAUCCAUGCUUCUAAAAUAUUCCCGGUGGUUAAGAAUCAACAUCUACUGCUUUGUACCCUCUUAAUUGGCAACGCUUUAGCAAUGGAGUCUCUUCCAAUAUUUCUGGAUAAACUUGUUCCUCCAUGGGCCGCAAUUCUGAUAUCUGUAACACUGAUCCUGAUGUUUGGAGAGAUAUUGCCACAAGCGAUCUCUACACGCUAUGGCUUGACAGUUGGAGCAACAGCGGCACCUUUGGUCCGUCUCCUCCUAUGGUUUUUCUUCCCUAUUGCUUAUCCUAUCAGCAAGGUUCUAGAUUGGAUGUUGGGCAAGGGGCAUGCCGCCCUUCUACGCAGAGCAGAGUUGAAAACUUUUGUGGAUUUUCAUGGCAAUGAGGCUGGGAAAGGAGGAGAUUUGACGCAUGACGAGACAACUAUAAUUGCUGGAGCGCUCGAACUGACUGAAAAAACUGCAAAGGAUGCCAUGACCCCUAUAUCGAAGGCAUUUUCCCUUGACCUGGAUGGAACUCUUACUUUGGAUACCUUGAAUGCAAUUAUGACCAUGGGUCACAGCAGAGUUCCUGUUUAUUCUGGAGACCGAACAAAUAUUAUUGGAAUUAUCCUGGUUAAGAAUCUCUUGGCAGUUAACCCAGAUGAUGCAGUUCCUCUCAGAAAGAUGUUAUUAAGGAAGGUUCCACGGGUUACAGACAACAUGCCUCUUUAUGACAUCUUAAACGAAUUCCAGAAAGGGCACAGCCAUAUCGCUGUUGUGUACAAAGAUCUGAACAAGACAAAAGAGCGGCUAAAAAAGUCCAAGGAUUCUGAGAAAACUGAAAAUCUAGCAAACAAAUCAACUUCACAUGAUGUUGAGAUGAAGACUGAUGGAGAUCAACAGGCAAAGAGAAGUCCACCUUCAACUCCUGCUUUCAAGAAGAGGCAUAGAGGUUGCUCCUUCUGCAUACUGGAUUUGGAGAACAAUCCCAUUCCCAAGUACCCAUCAAACGAGAUUGUCGUUGGUGUGAUCACCAUGGAAGAUGUUAUUGAAGAGCUUCUUCAGGAGGAGAUAUUGGAUGAAACAGAUGAAUAUGUAAACAUCCACAACAGAAUAAGGAUCAACAUGAAUGCAUCUCAGGAGAACCUUCUUGAUCCCCAUCCUUCUCUCAACUCAACAGCUCCUGGUUCAGCAAAAUAACAAGGUCUCUGUUCUCUUACAUACAAGAUCUCUUUCUAAUGGGAGCUUUAAACCCGAAUACAACUAGGCCAAAGACCUUUGGUGGCUUUUGGUUCAAUGUUGUAUCAUACGUUUUCGAAAUAAAGAAAAGGGCCCAACUGAUAAAGUUUGGACUCGGUUACGACCUGUCCUUCCUCCAACCAUAAGGCGUCAAAUCGAUAG